CCCUUAGAUGUUCUGGGCCGUACGCGCGCUACACUGACGAUGGCAACGAGUUUUUCCUUCGCCGAAAGGUGUGGGUAAUCUUUUGAAACAUCGUCGUGCUGGGGAUAGAUCAUUGCAAUUUUUGAUCUUGAACGAGGAAUUCCUAGUAAGCGCGAGUCAUCAGCUCGCGUUGAUUACGUCCCUGCCCUUUGUACACACCGCCCGUCGCUACUACCGAUUGAAUGGUUUAGUGAGGACUCCUGAUUGGCGCCGCCGCCCCGGCAACGGAGCAGCGGACUGCCGAAAAGUUGUUCAAACUUGAUCAUUUAGAGGAAGUAAAAGUCGUAACA
rnacentral:rRNA from 1 species